UGGGCCAACCCUCUGAACUGAAACAUCUUAGUAGGAGGAGGAAAAGAAAGAAACAUCGAUUUCCUAAGUAGCGGCGAGCGAACGGGAAACAGCCUAAACCACAAUUGUUACGGCAACUGUGGGGUUGUAGGACUGCAAUAUUCAAAUGACUGUGAACUGGAAUGUUCUGGAAAGUUCAUCCAUAGAGAGUGAAAGACUCGUACAGGCAAGCACGUCAGGCGAUAGCAGUAUCCUGAGUAGGGCGGGACACGAGGAAUCCUGUCUGAAUCCGCCGGGACCACCCGGUAAGGCUAAAUACUCCCAAGAGACCGAUAGUGAACCAGUACCGUGAGGGAAAGGUGAAAAGAACCCCGAACAGGGGAGUGAAAUAGAACCUGAAACCAUACGCUUACAACCUGUCGGAGCGGCUUCGUGCCGUGACGGCGUGCCUAUUGAAUAAUGAGCCUACGAGUUACUAAUCACUGGCAAGGUUAAGUGCACGGAUGCACGGAGCCGAAGCGAAAGCGAGUCUGAAUAGGGCGUUUAGUCAGUGGUUGUAGACGCGAAACCUUGCGAUCUACCCUUGAGCAGGUUGAAGGUUGGGUAAAACCAACUGGAGGACCGAACGAAUAAGCGUUGAAAAGCUUCUCGAUGACUUGAGGGUAGGGGUGAAAGGCUAAUCAAGCUGGGAAAUAGCUCGUACUCCCCGAAAUGCCUUUAGGGGCAGCGUUGUAAUUAAGAGUCUACUGGAGGUAGAGCUACUGAUUGGAUGCGGGGGCUUCACCGCCUACCAAAUCCUGACAAACUCCGAAUGCCAGUAGUAUGAUUUACAGCAGUGAGCGACCGGGUGCUAAUGUCCGGUUACGAGAGUGGAACAACACAGACCAGCAACUAAGGUCCCCAAGAGUAUACUAAGUUGAUCUAACGAUGUUUUGCUGCAGAGACAGCUAGGAUGUUAGCUUGGAAGCAGCUAUUCAUUCAAAGAGUGCGUAACAGCUCACUAGUCGAGCGGCAAAGCGUGGAUAAUAAACGGGCAUCAAGUAUACCACCGAAGUUCUGGGCACGAAAGUGCGGUAGGGGAGCAUUCCAUUCCGCGUUGAAGCCGAACCGUGAGGUUUGGUGGAGUGUAUGGAAAAGCAAAUGUAGGCAUGAGUAACGAUAAUGCGGGAGAGUAACCCGCACACCGCAAGACCAAGGUUUCCUGAUCAACGCUAAUCGGAUCAGGGUUAGUCGGGUCCUAAGGGUAAGCCGAACGGUGAUCUCGAUGGAUAAUCGGUUAAUAUUCCGAUACUGACAUAUACCUCGAUGGAGAGACGAAGGAACGUAAGUGCCGCCACCUGACGGAAUAGGUGGUUAAAGGGCUUAGGUAUAGGGGCAGAUUAAGAGUUAGUCCUUGCUGAAACCUGACAGUACAGAGAGCCUACGGGCAAUUUGAUAGUGCACCCAAGUCGACUUCCGAGAAAAUCUUCUAAGUUAUAGUAUAUGUCACCCGUACCGUAAACCGACACAGGUGGUCGAGGAGAGUAUCCUAAGGUGCUCGAGUGAAUCACGGUUAAGGAACUAGGCAAAUUAACCCCGUAACUUCGGGAAAAGGGGUCCCAUCGCGAGGUGGGCGCAGCGAAGAGGUCCAGGCGACUGUUUAUCAAAAACACAGGGCUCUGCAAAUUCGAAAGAAGACGUAUAGGGCCUGACACCUGCCCGGUGCUGGAAGGUUAAGAGGGGAUGUCAUCGCAAGAGAAGCAUUGAAUCGAAGCCCCAGUAAACGGCGGCCGUAACUAUAACGGUCCUAAGGUAGCGAAAUUCCUUGUCGGGUAAGUUCCGACCUGCACGAAUGGUGUAACGAUCUGGACACUGUCUCAACCGUGAGCUCGGUGAAAUUGUAGUCCCGGUGAUGAUGCCGGGUACCCGCAACGGGACGAAAAGACCCCGUGAACCUUUACUAUAGCUUAACGCUGAAUUUGGGUACACAAUGUGUAGGAUAGGCAGGAGACUACGAAGCGGGCACGCCAGUGUUCGUGGAGUCGACGUUGAAAUACUGCCCUUUGUGUACUUGAGUUCUAACCCUCGAGAGGGGACACCGUUUGGUGGGUAGUUUGACUGGGGUGGUCGCCUCCAAAAGAGUAACGGAGGCUUCCCAAGGUACCCUCAGCACGAAUGGUAACCGUGCGUAGAGUGCAAUAGCAUAAGGGUGCUUGACUGUGAGACCAACAAGUCGAUCAGGUGCGAAAGCAGGGUAUAGUGAUCCGGUGGUUCUGCGUGGACUGGCCAUCGCUCAAAGGAUAAAAGGUACUCCGGGGAUAACAGGCUGAUC
rnacentral:rRNA from 1 species